UUUUUGUUUUUAAUGAUUAAUGUUGAAAUGUUUUUAUUUAUCUUAUGAUUUGUUUGUAUUUUCUUUAUAUACUUUUUAAAUUUUAAUUUCAGAUUGAAAGAUCUGAUUAUUCUUUUGGCUGAUUUAGCCUCUGUUAUUUCCUCUGAUUGAGGUCAAGAAGAAUUCAAGAAUUCCAUCAGGAGUUGAUUGGAGGUUUUCGUUGCUUAUGCUGAUUGGUGAUGGAUAGAGAGAUUCAGUCCAUGAAUUAUUAUUUUGAGAGAAGUAAAUUCCCUUGAUCAAAUCAUUGUCUGAAUAUUUCAUUUUUUCAAUGUUUUUAAACAUGAGUUCGACUGUAUAUUUGAUCAAUGGAGUUAUGUUUGCUUCAUUAUAAAUAAAGUUGUUUGAAUAUCUUUUAUUUCUA